rnacentral:tRNA from 1 species
UAAAUUAAAGCUUUGUUGAAGCGUUGAGCUUUUAACUCAAAGAAACCCUUUUUGGUUAAUUUAA